rnacentral:miRNA from 1 species
AGGCGGAGUCUUGGGCAAUUGCC